rnacentral:misc_RNA from 1 species
AACCAUUCUCACCUGCGGCUAGACCUGCGGAAGGAUCAUUACCGAGUUAUACAACUCAUCAACCCCUGUGAACUUACCUACAACGUUGCUUCGGCGGGAACAGACGGCCCCGUAAAACGGGCCGCCCCCGCCAGAGGACCCCUAACUCUGUUUUUAUAAUGUUUUUCUGAGUAAACAAGCAAAUAAAUUAAAACUUUCAACAACGGAUCU